rnacentral:rRNA from 1 species
GACGGGGGGUCCAAGCGUUGUUCGGAAUCAUUGGGCGUAAAGCGUGUGCAGGUGGUUUUGUAAGUUGGAUGUGAAAGCCCCGGGCUUAACCCGGGAAGUGCAUUCAAAACUGCAAAACUUGAGUAUGGAAGAGGGUCGUGGAAUUCCAGGUGUAGUGGUGAAAUACGUAGAUAUCUGGAGGAACACCGGUGGCGAAGGCGGCCUUCUGGACAGUGACUGACGCUGAGACGCGAAAGCGUGGGGAGCAAACAGG